rnacentral:rRNA from 1 species
GUAGGUGGCAAGCGUUGUCCGGAAUUAUUGGGCGUAAAGCGCGCGCAGGCGGUCCUUUAAGUCUGAUGUGAAAGCCCACGGGCUCAACCGUGGAGGGUCAUUGGAAACUGGGGGACUUGAGUACAGAAGAGGAAAGCGGAAUUCCAAGUGUAGCGGUGAAAUGCGUAGAGAUUUGGAGGAACACCAGUGGCGAAGGCGGCUUUCUGGUCUGUAACUGACGCUGAGGCGCGAAAGCGUGGGGAGCAAACAGGAUUAGAUACCCUGGUAGUCCACGACGUAAACGAUGAGUGCUAAGUGUUAGGGGGUUUCCGCCCCUUAGUGCUGCAGCUAACGCAUUAAGCACUCCGCCUGGGGAGUACGGCCGCAAAGGCUGA